rnacentral:rRNA from 1 species
GAUGAACGCUGGCGGCGUGCCUAAUACAUGCAAGUCGAGCGAACGGACGAGAAGCUUGCUUCUCUGAUGUUAGCGGCGGACGGGUGAGUAACACGUGGAUAACCUACCUAUAAGACUGGGAUAACUUCGGGAAACCGGAGCUAAUACCGGAUAAUAUUUUGAACCGCAUGGUUCAAAAGUGAAAGACGGUCUUGCUGUCACUUAUAGAUGGAUCCGCGCUGCAUUAGCUAGUUGGUAAGGUAACGGCUUACCAAGGCAACGAUGCAUAGCCGACCUGAGAGGGUGAUCGGCCACACUGGAACUGAGACACGGUCCAGACUCCUACGGGAGGCAGCAGUAGGGAAUCUUCCGCAAUGGGCGAAAGCCUGACGGAGCAACGCCGCGUGAGUGAUGAAGGUCUUCGGAUCGUAAAACUCUGUUAUUAGGGAAGAACAUAUAUGUAAGUAACUGUGCACAUCUUGACGGUACCUAAUCAGAAAGCCACGGCUAACUACGUGCCAGCAGCCGCGGUAAUACGUAGGUGGCAAGCGUUAUCCGGAAUUAUUGGGCGUAAAGCGCGCGUAGGCGGUUUUUUAAGUCUGAUGUGAAAGCCCACGGCUCAACCGUGGAGGGUCAUUGGAAACUGGAAAACUUGAGUGCAGAAGAGGAAAGUGGAAUUCCAUGUGUAGCGGUGAAAUGCGCAGAGAUAUGGAGGAACACCAGUGGCGAAGGCGACUUUCUGGUCUGUAACUGACGCUGAUGUGCGAAAGCGUGGGGAUCAAACAGGAUUAGAUACCCUGGUAGUCUACGCCGUAAACGAUGAGUGCUAAGUGUUAGGGGGUUUCCGCCCCUUAGUGCUGCAGCUAACGCAUUAAGCACUCCGCCUGGGGAGUACGACCGCAAGGUUGAAACUCAAAGGAAUUGACGGGGACCCGCACAAGCGGUGGAGCAUGUGGUUUAAUUCGAAGCAACGCGAAGAACCUUACCAAAUCUUGACAUCCUUUGACAACUCUAGAGAUAGAGCUUUCCCCUUCGGGGGACAAAGUGACAGGUGGUGCAUGGUUGUCGUCAGCUCGUGUCGUGAGAUGUUGGGUUAAGUCCCGCAACGAGCGCAACCCUUAAGCUUAGUUGCCAUCAUUAAGUUGGGCACUCUAAGUUGACUGCCGGUGACAAACCGGAGGAAGGUGGGGAUGACGUCAAAUCAUCAUGCCCCUUAUGAUUUGGGCUACACACGUGCUACAAUGGACAAUACAAAGGGCAGCGAAACCGCGAGGUCAAGCAAAUCCCAUAAAGUUGUUCUCAGUUCGGAUUGUAGUCUGCAACUCGACUACAUGAAGCUGGAAUCGCUAGUAAUCGUAGAUCAGCAUGCUACGGUGAAUACGUUCCCGGGUCU